rnacentral:rRNA from 1 species
UACGUAGGGUGCGAGCGUUAAUCGGAAUUACUGGGCGUAAAGCGUGCGCAGGCGGUUCGUUGUGUCGGCGGUGAAAGCCCCGGGCUUAACCUGGGAAUGGCCGUCGAAACUGGCGAACUGGAGUGUGGCAGAGGGGGGUGGAAUUCCGCGUGUAGCAGUGAAAUGCGUAGAGAUGCGGAGGAACACCGAUGGCGAAGGCAGCCCCCUGGGCUGACACUGACGCUCAGGCACGAAAGCGUGGGUAGCAAACAGG